AGCAUGUUUUAAUAAAUACAUUUGGAAAAGAAGACCAAGAAAAGUAAAAGAUGAUUCAGUGUCCAAACAGCACAGUGAAAGCACAUCAACACUUCCUUCCAAAGAGAAAUUGAAUAAACAGCAGAAACCAGAAGAAAAGCUUGACUCAGACAUGGACACUACCACUCUACUUGAGGAUACCAGAAAGGAUCAGCAAGUUUAUGGAGGAGAAAAUGUGAAACAUGAAGAUGACUUACUGAGUCAAGCAACACCCAUCAACCGGCGAGUAGAAGUUAUCAGAACAAGCAACACAGGCACUUUAAAUCAUGUCACAAUGAGAAAAGUCCCCUCCUCCGCUUCUCUAAAAGAGGAAAACAUUCAUUAAUAAUGAAUCAGGACUCCUGGUGUCAACACCAUAAACCCCUUUAAUGCACACCUUACAGUAAUUGUAACCAGGCCUAACCAUGUGUCAUUAUUGAACAUUUACAGAUGAUUAUUGAUUAUGGGAGCAGUAAAGAUGAUGACAUUACUGUACAUGGUGUCCCAUACAUUUCCAUACAUAGGAAAAUACCAUGUACUGGUAUUACAGUUACGUAGUAUUCCAGUCCUGGAGCAAAAAAAAGUUCACUUUUAUUGAUUUCCGGCCAUAUGAAGAUGAAGUUUGUCAAUAUCUGUGUUGUGUGACAAAUGUUUUGCACUUUUCCUUUAGCCAGGUUAUUGUCUAGUUUGCCACUGUUGUGUUAAAACAGUCAUUGUAUAUAUAAGUUAUAGUGUAUAUUUUAGUCUUUACUUGAUAUUAUUAUAAUAUUACUUAACUUCCUUUAUUUUCAUGUGUGUCCAGUCAGCGUCCUCCCGCUCGUUUUGUAUAUCAUGCCGCAACUUUGCAAGUAUGUAUGUAUGUAUGUAUGUAUGUAUGUAUGUAUGUAUGUAUGUAUGUAUGUAUGUAUGUAUGUAUGUAGUGUUGAUGCAGCGUGUAUUGCAGCUUGCUACAAUUCUGUGUAUAUAGCUUCCCCUGUAGCUUAGCUAAAUUAAAUGGAGAGAAACUAGUAGCUUAGCUUACGACAGUAAAAAUAUUUUUCCAAAUAAUUGGUCUUUAUAGACAAAAUUGUAAUAAUUUGACAAUGAUAAUUUUGAAUAGUUGAAAAGUUUACAUUGACUGUUACUCUGUAGUGAAUUACAAUUGGCUUACACGGCUUUUAAACGUGAGUGUGAAUUUCUUUUUUCAUUUAUUUUAUAAAGCAGAAGUUGCUUUGUUGGUUACGCCAAAUAAAUCUGACAAGAUUAAUUGCUGUCUGCCUUUAAUCGCCGAAUUGUGAUUAGCUAAUAGCAUGUGUGAUUUCCCUGCACUGAGCAACGUUUGGAGGUCUUUUUUGCACAUUCCCACAUCCUAAAACACAUUAUAAACACCAUUUCUAUCAAAAACUAAAUUAAGAAAAAUUGCGAUAUGAUGUUUUUGUUUUAUUUAUUUUAUUUGAUUUUGUUAUCCCUUGCACGUGUUCAUGCUCUUUUUGUGUAUUAUUUCGUUAUAGUCGAGUUAUUUCAAUGUCUUAAUUACUGGUUCAACAUUAUUGAGGAAAAUAUUUUCUUUAUACAUAUUUUUGUAUAUAUUUUGACAUGUUCUGUUUUAUUUUGUGAUUGUUUGAAUUUUGUGUAUAAUGUUGAAAUAAAGUUAGAGGAAAAAGAGUUGUGAUUGGUCAACUUGUUAUGACAUCAUUUCCGGAUUCACCCAGCCCACCUUGGCGAACGUUUUCUCUUACGGUUUUAAAGCAACGUGCACAUUAAAAGUGACCGUUGUUAUAAAAUGAUUAGUUCCAGCGCCAACAUUAAAGUGAGUGUCACCAACAACAUUAUAUCACACGCAGGAGAACGUGUGGGAGACAAUUGCAAGUAGGUCCAGCUUGCUCGUACCGAAACAAAGAUUGUGGAUGACGGACAAGAGGAUCACUCUGCUUAUGUAAUUCCACCGUCGAAUAAACUUGCUGAGAGCGAUGCACUGAGUGAGACCUCCUGUGGCAAGUUCGAAAGCCAGAGCCGAAGAAAGAAACACAA